AAUUGAGUAGUCUAAGAAGGAUAUUAAAUUGCAAAUUUAAUGGUAAUAAAAAAAGUUCUCAAUUU
rnacentral:tRNA from 1 species